UGAGGCUGCUGCCAGUGGUCAAAGCCUCCAACAAAGCAUUACUUAGCACCUGUAACCUCUCACAGAGAAGCUGUGAAGCUCUGUCCUCAGCUCUCAGCUCCCAGUCCUGUAGACUGAGAGAGUUGGACCUCAGUAACAACAACCUACAAGAUUCAGGAGUGAAGCUUCUAUCUGCUGGAGUGGAGAGUGCACAUUGUACACUGGAAACUCUGAGACUAUAUGGGUGUUUCCUCUCUGAGAGAAGCUGUGAAUCUCUGUCCUCAGUUCUCAGCUCCCAAUCCUCUAGCCUUAGGGAUCUGGGCCUGAGUAACAACAACCUACAAGAUUCAGGAGUGAAGCUUCUGUCUGCUGGAGUGAAAAGUCCACAUUGUAAACUGGCAGCUCUGAGACUUAGCACCUGUAACCUCUCACAGAGAAGCUGUGAAGCUCUGUCCUCAGCUCUCAGCUCCCAGUCCUGUAGACUGAGAGAGUUGGACCUCAGUAACAACAACCUACAAGAUUCAGGAGUGAAGCUUCUAUCUGCUGGAGUGGAGAGCGCACAUUGUACACUGGAAACUCUGAGACUAUAUGGGUGUUUCCUCUCUGAGAGAAGCUGUGAAU